AAAAUCAGUAAAGACAAAAUAAAAAAAAAAAAAAAUCCAUUGUCAGGGAUAUCUGACAGCAAAGGAUUUUGAUGUCUGUCUGAAUGCCAGCACAUUGUUUAAUUUUUGUUUUCGUAUCUUGCGUCGUGUUUCCUGUCUGUGUUGAUGUUUGUGGCCUUCUGGUGCUUAAGUAAUCUUUUCUGUUCCUCAUUUUUCCCGCUGGUUGUUUUCUGUUUGUGACCCGCUGCUCGUGUCGAUGGCAGAUGAACUUUGUCGGCCUCUAUAAAUUGUACGUGAUGCGUUUAGGGACCAUGUGGUAAUGACUGGGAGUUCUUACAUCAGCUGUUAAGCCUUUUUAUAGCUAUGCUAAUUCUUGGUUUGUGGAGAGAUUGUUUACUGAAGUUGAACCUUGUUGCUGAAUAUUUGUUGUGGACAUAAAUGGGAGAAAAAUGCAAAAAAAUGCACCUUUUGAUGUAUUUAAAUAAAAAGGCCAAACAGUA